GAUGAACCUAAAAAGUUCUAAAGGCAUAAAGGUUUGGUCCUAGCCUUAUUAUCAGUUAUCUCUUAAUUUACACAUGCAAGUCUCUGCACCCCCGUGAGGAAGCCCUUUAACCCUACCCCAGGACAAGGAGCAGGUAUCAGGCUCAACCUUUUGCCCAUGACACCUAGUUUUACCACGCCCCCAAGGAUAGUCAGCAGUGAUAAACUUUACUAAUAAGCGACAGCUUGACUUAGUUAUAGAGAAGAUAGUUGGCCAACUCGGUGCCAGCCGCCGCGGUUAGACCCUGAAGCUAAAAUUGAUAAUCAUCGGCGUUAAGCGUGAUUAAAGCUACUACUACACUAGAGUAAAACUCCUUACCCAGCUGUGAAAAGCUUGCAUUGUGGAAUCCCAUAAACGAAAGUUACUCUAUCUUACGCUUGAACACACGACAAUUAGGAACACAAACUGGGAUUAGAUACCCCACUAUGCCUAAUCGUAAAAUAUUAACUUACAACCACAAGCGCCUGGGAACUACGGGCUAAGCCUAAAACCCAAAGGACUUGACGGUGUCCCACCCUACUAGAGGAGCCUGUUCUAUAAUCGAUAACCCACGCUAAACCUAACCUCUUCUAGCUCAGUCUGUAUAUCGCCGUCGCAAAUCUGCCUUGUGAAUGCCAAAUAGCAUGUUCAAUGUCCUCCCGCCAAAACGUCAGGUCAAGGUGCAGCAUAUGAAGAGGGAAGAAUGGGCUACAAUUUCUAACUUAGAACAAACGGAUUACUUUAUGAAAUUAAAUUAUGAAGGAGGAUUUAGUAGUAAAGAGAAAUCAUUUUGUUCUCUUUAAUACGGCCCUGGGACGCGUACACACCGCCCGUCACUCUCUUCGAAAAUAUCAAGCUAGUUAUAUAACCAACAAUAAAAAUAGAGAA
rnacentral:ncRNA from 1 species